AUUGAACGCUGGCGGCAGGCCUAACACAUGCAAGUCGAGCGGAUGAAGGGAGCUUGCUCCUGGAUUCAGCGGCGGACGGGUGAGUAAUGCCUAGGAAUCUGCCUGGUAGUGGGGGAUAACGUCCGGAAACGGGCGCUAAUACCGCAUACGUCCUGAGGGAGAAAGUGGGGGAUCUUCGGACCUCACGCUAUCAGAUGAGCCUAGGUCGGAUUAGCUAGUUGGUGGGGUAAAGGCCUACCAAGGCGACGAUCCGUAACUGGUCUGAGAGGAUGAUCAGUCACACUGGAACUGAGACACGGUCCAGACUCCUACGGGAGGCAGCAGUGGGGAAUAUUGGACAAUGGGCGAAAGCCUGAUCCAGCCAUGCCGCGGGUGUGAAGAAGGUCUGCGGAUUGUAAAGCACUUUAAGUUGGGAGGAAGGGCAGUAAGUUAAUACCUGGCUGUUUUGACGUUACCAACAGAAUAAGCACCGGCGAACUUCGG
rnacentral:rRNA from 1 species